rnacentral:snoRNA from 1 species
AUUCCAUUAUCCUGACACCUUCUCACUAUCUCCUUGAAUCUUUCACAUGCUUCAAAGACCGUUUCAGUAUCCUUCUGGCAGAAGUUGUCAAUUUUCCUUCUGAACUU